UGGGGAAUAUUGGACAAUGGGGGAAACCCUGAUCCAGCAAUGCCGCGUGAGUGAAGAAGGCCUUAGGGUUGUAAAGCUCUUUCGCCCGCGAAGAUAAUGACGGUAGCGGGAGAAGAAGCCCCGGCUAACUCCGUGCCAGCAGCCGCGGUAAUACGGAGGGGGCUAGCGUUGUUCGGAAUUACUGGGCGUAAAGCGUACGUAGGCGGAUGCGCAAGUUGGGGGUGAAAUCCCGGGGCUUAACCUCGGAAUUGCCCUCAAAACUGCACGUCUUGAGACCGAGAGAGGUAAGGGGAAUUCCUAGUGUAGGGGUGAAAUUCGUAGAUAUUAGGAAGAACACCAGUGGCGAAGGCGCCUUACUGGCUCGGUACUGACGCUGAGGUACGAAAGCGUGGGGAGCAAACA
rnacentral:rRNA from 1 species